GACAUCCAGAUGACACAGUCUCCAUCCUCACUGUCUGCAUCUCUGGGAGGCAAAGUCACCAUCACUUGCAAGGCAAGCCAAGACAUUAACAAGUAUAUAGCUUGGUACCAACACAAGCCUGGAAAAGGUCCUAGGCUGCUCAUACAUUACACAUCUACAUUACAGCCAGGCAUCCCAUCAAGGUUCAGUGGAAGUGGGUCUGGGAGAGAUUAUUCCUUCAGCAUCAGCAACCUGGAGCCUGAAGAUAUUGCAACUUAUUAUUGUCUACAGUAUGAUAAUCUU
rnacentral:lncRNA from 1 species